UUUUGGAUUUUGAGGGCAUGAUAGAAGUUAUUAAGGCAGCCUCCGAAGGAACUUUUGUGCUACUUCAUGGAUGUGCUCAUAACCCUACUGGUAUUAACCCAACACCUGAACAGUGG